rnacentral:rRNA from 1 species
CCUACGGGAGGCAGCAGUGAGGAAUAUUGGUCAAUGGGCGAGAGCCUGAACCAGCCAAGUCGCGUGAAGGAUGACGGCCCUACGGGUUGUAAACUUCUUUUGUCAGGGAGCAAUUGAGUCCACGUGUGGGCUUAGCGAGAGUACCUGAAGAAAAAGCAUCGGCGAACUCCGUCCCAGCAGCCGCGGUAAUACGGAGGAUGCGAGGUUUAUCCGGUUUUAUUGGGUUUAAAGGGUGCGUAGGCGGAAGUUAAAGUCAGCGGGAAAAGUUGGGGGCUCAACCCCGUCGUGCCGUUGAAACUGGUGUGCUUGAGUGGGCGAGAAGUAUGCGGAAUGCGUGGUGUAGCGGUGAAAUGCAUAGAUAUCACGCAGAACUCCGAUUGCGAAGGCAGCAUACCGGCGCCCAACUGACGCUGAAGCACGAAAGCGUGGGUAUCGAACAGGAUUAGAUACCCCAGUAGUC